CCUACGGGAGGCAGCAGUGGGGAAUAUUGCACAAUGGGGGAAACCCUGAUGCAGCGACGCCGCGUGAGUGAGGAAGUAUUUCGGUAUGUAAAGCUCUAUCAGCAGGGAAGAAAAUGACGGUACCUGACUAAGAAGCCCCGGCUAACGACGUGCCAGCAGCCGCGGUAAUACGUAGUGGGCAAGCGUUCUCCGGAUUUACUGGGUGGAACGGGAGUGUAGACGGCUAAGCAAGUCAGAAGUGAAAACCCAGGGCUCAACCUUGGGACUGCUUUUGAAACGGAGUAGCUAGAGUGCAGGAGAGGUAAGCGGGAUUCCUAGUGUAGCGGUGAAAUGCGUCGAUAUUAGGAGGAACCCCCGUGGCGUCGGCGGCUUACUGGACUGUACCUGCCGUUGAGGCUCGUACGCGUGGGGAGCAACCAGGAUUAGAUACCCUUGUAGUC
rnacentral:rRNA from 1 species